AGCUUUGCGCAGUGGCAGUAUCGUAGCCUAUGAGGUUUAUCCGAGGCGCGAUUAUUGCUAGUUGAAAACUUUACCCAAUACCCCGCUGAGACGACUUGCAAUAUAGUCGGCUUAGCAAUUUUUGACGGUCUCUAAGGAGA
ensembl:snRNA U4 U4 spliceosomal RNA